AAAGCGCACGUAGGCGGCUUUGUAAGUUAGAGGUGAAAGCCUGGAGCUCAACUCCAGAAUUGCCUUUAAGACUGCAUCGCUUGAAUCCAGGAGAGGUGAGUGGAAUUCCGAGUGUAGAGGUGAAAUUCGUAGAUAUUCGGAAGAACACCAGUGGCGAAGGCGGCUCACUGGACUGGUAUUGACGCUGAGGUGCGAAAGCGUGGGGAGCAAACAGGAUUAGAUACCCGAGU
rnacentral:rRNA from 1 species